GGGAAGGAGCAGAUGAGAACAAGAGAAUAUGUUCUCAUAUAAAACAUUAUUUCCAGGUAUGUCCGUGAAGGUGUUCCCCGCUCAUCUGAAUUGGUGGAUUCAGUAAAGUAGACUGCCCUGCCUCCACUGUGGCUUGGAACACGAAAGCAAUGCUUGAAGGAGCAGUAGCCAUCUUGCCUGAGGCUGAGAGUCUUCAAGUACCAACUAAUUUGUUCCGGAGAUGCAAGUGCAAAUCCCAUGAGCUUAUGUAGCCUGGCAC